AUGAUUACGAUGGCGUAUUUCAAGAAACAAGGUGUGGUGACGUAUGUGCCUGCAGCGUUGGGCCCUCCAGAUUCGGUGUGUUAUGAUCGGGUAGCUCUGAUGAGCCAGCCAUCUGGUGGUGCUUCUGCAACAAGGUCCCCUGAUGAGGUGCCAUCGGGAGGGAUGUUUGAUGGAAGGGUUGGCCAGAAGCCGGACGUCAUCCUGAACAGGGGUGCGCUAGUGGGUGGCACAUUGGGGGAUCCAAUGUCUGCACAUCGGUCUGUUGGACCUAACGAGUUUGCCAAGCAUUUACGAGAGACUUGUGGGGAUGAUCUGGUGCUUCAAGAACUGAGUUUGAUGUUGAAGCAGCACAAUGCGAAGUGCACACUGAGUAUGACAUUGCUUCGUAACAGGAUGCAGUCCGACAUGUUUUCUUUCGCUGACAGUUAUAGAGCUUGUGCGGGACCGUUUCCAUUUUUUAGCAAGCGCGGACUGUCAAAGUGUGUGAUGCUAGAUGAUCCCGGGAGGCGAUGUGCAGGGGGUAAACUGAUGCAUCUGAGGAAUGUGACAAUGGUGGCUCGCCUGCUUGUCAUGUCCAAUGAUGAAGAUGUUGUUUUAUUUGGGCAGAUAGAGGCUAAGUUGCCGAAAAGGAGGUAUGUUAUGUCGGCAAGUUUUGCUGCUAACCCAUGGACAAGUGGAUGCCUACCACAACCACCACCAAUCCCAUUGGUGAAUAGGUUUCAUGCAUGGAUAUCGGGAGGAAAUCAGUUUGAAUCAGACAGUGUAUGGUUUGUGCAUACAUGCCCACGGCUUCUGAGGGUGAUGUCGUGUGUGUUCUGCAACAAAUGGUUGGGACGCAUCCACUUGACCACGAGGUUGCUGCUCUCGCUAUAA
rnacentral:rRNA from 1 species